rnacentral:rRNA from 1 species
CCAGACUCCUACGGGAGGCAGCAGUGGGGAAUAUUGCACAAUGGGGGAAACCCUGAUGCAGCGACGCCGCGUGAGCGAUGAAGUAAUUCGGUAUGUAAAGCUCUAUCAGCAGGGAAGAAGAUGACGGUACCUGACUAAGAAGCCCCGGCUAACUACGUGCCAGCAGCCGCGGUAAUACGUAGGGGGCAAGCGUUAUCCGGAUUUACUGGGUGUAAAGGGAGCGUAGACGGCGGUGCAAGUCUGAUGUGAAAGCCCGGGGCUCAACCCCGGGACUGCAUUUGGAACUGUGUGGCUGGAGUGUAGGAGAGGCAGGCGGAAUUCCUAGUGUAGCGGUGAAAUGCGUAGAUAUUAGGAGGAACACCAGUGGCGAAGGCGGCCUGCUGGACGAUGACUGACGUUGAGGCUCGAAAGCGUGGGGAGCAAACAGGAUUAGAUACCCGAGUA